rnacentral:rRNA from 1 species
GACGAACGCUGGCGGCGUGCUUAACACAUGCAAGUCGAACGGUGAAGCUCCAGCUUGCUGGAGUGGAUCAGUGGCGAACGGGUGAGUAACACGUGAGCAACCUGCCCCAGACUCUGGAAUAAGCGCUGGAAACGGCGUCUAAUACUGGAUACGAGAUCAAGCCGCAUGGUUAUGGUCUGGAAAGUUUUUCGGUUUGGGAUGGGCUCGCGGCCUAUCAGCUUGUUGGUGAGGUAAUGGCUCACCAAGGCGACGACGGGUAGCCGGCCUGAGAGGGCGACCGGCCACACUGGGACUGAGACACGGCCCAGACUCCUACGUGAGGCAGCAGUGGGGAAUAUUGCACAAUGGGCGAAAGCCUGAUGCAGCGACGCCGCGUGAGGGAUGACGGCCUUCGGGUUGUAAACCUCUUUCAGCAGGGAAGAAGCGAAAGUGACGGUACCUGCAGAAGAAGCACCGGCUAACUACGUG